AAAUUAAUAAGAAAAAACUAAUAAAAAAAAAUUUAUUAUUAAAAAUAUCUAAUGGGGGUUAAAGUAUUUUUAAUAGAAAAAAUUUAUAGAUUUAUAGUUAAAUAGUAUUGUAAAAGAAAUUUUAAAUAAUUGAAAUAUAAAAUUUAAAUAAAAGUAAAUUUAAUUUAUUGUAUCUUGUGUAUCAGAGUUUAUUAAAUAAAAAUUUUUACAUAAAAAAUUCUCGAAUUUAAAAGAGUUAAUUAAUUAAAAAAGUUAAUGUUGAAUAAUUAUUUUAAAUAAUUAAUUAGAAAUGAAAUGUUAAUCGUUUUUAAAUAUAUCUAGUUUUUUCAGAAAAAAAUUUAAUUUUAAAUUAAAAUAAUUUUAUAAUUAAUUAAUUAAUUAUAAAAAUUUAAAAUUUAAUAUUUUAGGGGAUAAGCUUUAAAUUAAAAAAUUAUAAUAAUUAAUUUAUAAUUAAAAUUUUUAAUAUUUAUAUUGUUUAAAAAUUAUAAUUUGUUAUAAAAAAUUUUAAUUAAAUUAAAAUUUAAAAAUAAAAUUUAAUUUUUUAUGAGAAAAAUUAUUUUUAAUAGUUAAAAAUUAGAAAUAAUGAUAAAAUUAGUAUAAGAUAAAAAAAAAAAUAAAUUUAAUUAAAAUUAAAUUAAAGGAAUUCGGCAAAAAUUUAUAUUCACUUGUUUAUCAAAAACAUGUCUUUUUGGGUAAUAAUUUAAAGUCUAAUCUGCCCACUGAUAUAAAUUAAAGGGCUGCAGUAUAUUGACUGUACAAAGGUAGCAUAAUCAUUAGUCUUUUAAUUGAAGACUUGUAUGAAAGAUUUGAUGAAAUAUAAACUGUCUCUAUUUUAUUAAUAAAAAUUAAUAUUUUAGUUAAAAAGCUAAAAUGAAAUUAAAAGACGAGAAGACCCUAUAGAGUUUAAUAUUUAUUUUUAUUACAUUAAAAUAUAUAAUUAAUUAAUGAAUUAAAAAAAAAUAUUUUGUUGGGGUGAUGAAAAAAUUUAAUGAACUUUUUUUUUUAUAAAACAUAGAUAAAUGAUUAAAUGAUCCAUAAUUUUAUGAUUAUAAGAAAAAAUUACCUUAGGGAUAACAGCGUAAUAUUUUUUUUUAGUACAAAUAAAAAAGAAAGUUUGCGACCUCGAUGUUGGAUUAAGAUAAAAAUUAAAUGCAAAAGUUUAAAUUUUUGAUCUGUUCGAUCAUUAAAAUCUUACAUGAUCUGAGUUCAAACCGGUGUAAGCCAGGUUGGUUUCUAUCUUUAAUAAAAUAUAAUAUUUUAGUACGAAAGGAUCAAAUAUUGAAAAUAAUUUUAAUUAAUUUGAAUAUUAUUAAUAUUAAUAUA
rnacentral:rRNA from 1 species